rnacentral:rRNA from 1 species
GUGGGGAAUAUUGGACAAUGGGGGGAACCCUGAUCCAGCCAUGCCGCGUGUGUGAAGAAGGCCUUUUGGUUGUAAAGCACUUUAAGCGAGGAGGAGGCUACCGAGAUUAAUACUCUUGGAUAGUGGACGUUACUCGCAGAAUAAGCACCGGCUAACUCUGUGCCAGCAGCCGCGGUAAUACAGAGGGUGCAAGCGUUAAUCGGAUUUACUGGGCGUAAAGCGCGCGUAGGUGGCCAAUUAAGUCAAAUGUGAAAUCCCCGAGCUUAACUUGGGAAUUUCAUUCGAUACUGGUUGGCUAGAGUAUGGGAGAGGAUGGUAGAAUUCCAGGUGUAGCGGUGAAAUGCGUAGAGAUCUGGAGGAAUACCGAUGGCGAAGGCAGCCAUCUGGCCUAAUACUGACACUGAGGUGCGAAAGCAUGGGGAGCAAACAGGAUUAGAUACCCCAGUAGUCC